rnacentral:rRNA from 1 species
GACGUAGGGCGCGAGCGUUGUCCGGAAUCAUUGGGCGUAAAGAGCGUGUAGGCGGCUCGAUUAGUCCGCUGUCAAAGUCCAGGGCUCAACCCUGGGAUGCCGGUGGAAACUGUCGGGCUAGAGUCCGGGAGAGGCGAGUGGAAUUCCUGGUGUAGCGGUGAAAUGCGCAGAUAUCAGGAGGAACACCAAUGGCGAAGGCAGCUCGCUGGAACGGUACUGACGCUGAGACGCGAAAGCGUGGGGAGCAAACAGG